AUGGCAGCGACCAGGCUGGACUUGUGGGCCGAAGAGCAGAUACCCGCGCUUCCAAGCCUUGCCGAUCCGCCGGUAGUACUCCUUCCGCUUCAAGAAACGGUCGAGGUCGUCGGUGACGGCCUGCUUGAGUGCCGGAUCCAUGGCGAGAGUGUCGAACGUGGCCGGGUGGUGGUGGUUGAUGCCGUGCCACGACCGACCCUCGUUCAUGAAGAUCUUGAGCGCGCGAUCCCGCCGCUGCAGCUGCUCCGCCGUGGACAUGAUGAACGGCACGUACCGCUCAAGCGCCGCCUCCGUGUGCUCGGCGUCAAAGCUGAGCUCGAGGGUCUCGCGUGGUGGGGCGCGAUGGCCCUUUCCCUUCUUGCCUUCGUCGCCGCCGGUCUCGAUGGACGUCCAUUUGAACUCGACGCCGUCGAAGGUGUCGGUGGUGGAGCCCCCAUCGUCCAUGCACAGGAGUGUGCUCCAGCUGCUGCUCCCGUCGGGCUCCUUGUACCGGGUGCGCGCGAGGCAGAGCCGGCGCAUGGCGUUCGGGUCGAUCUUGGUGGCCAGGUAGGCGCGCGCCGCCUCGAAGAGGUGGUUCUCGUUGUACCCGGCGUCCAAGUGGCGGCGGAUGACGAUGGUGUGCCGCUCCUUGUCGCCGGCGCCGAGGCGGGCGCGCACGAACGCGGCACCCCAGCGCACCGCGGCGCGCAGCUCCUCGGGGAGGAGCUCCCUGGCCAUGCUGCGCACCAGCAUGGCGUACGCGGCCACGGACGCCGCCGUGGUCAGCGCCUUCUUGUACGUGUCCACCACCCUCCCGCCUCCUUCCAACGACGACGCCGCGGCCCCGGCCAUGGUGGUCAGUGGCAAGUUAUCCAUGAGUGUGAUGCGAACACGAGCGUGCUCCACGCCUCGUAUAUGUACUAUAGUGCUCUAGGGUUCAUUUCCAGUUACGAUCGACGAAGUUCUACCACCGAUGCGGCGCAGUUUCGUGGAAGGUCCCAUUAA
rnacentral:rRNA from 1 species